rnacentral:rRNA from 1 species
GAAAGCCGGCCUCAGUCCGGAUUGGAGUCUGCAACUCGACUCCAUGAAGUCGGAAUCGCUAGUAAUCGUGCAUCAGAAUGGCACGGUGAAUACGUUCCCGGGCCUUGUACACACCGCCCGUCACACCAUGGGAGUGGACUGCACCAGAAGUGGUUAGCCUAACUUCGGAGGGCGAUCACCACGGUGUGGUUCAUGACUGGGGUGAAGUCGUAACAAGGUAGCCGUAGGGGAACCUGCGGCUGGAUCACCUCCUUAAACGA